rnacentral:rRNA from 1 species
CCCGCUGAACUUAAGCAUAUCAAUAAGCGGAGGAAAAGAAACUAACAAGGAUUCCCCUAGUAACUGCGAGUGAAGAGGGAAAAGCUCAAAUUUGAAAUCUGGCGGUCUUUGGCUGUCCGAGUUGUAAUUUAGAGAAGUGUUACCCGAGCUAUACCGUGUAUAAGUCUCCUGGAAUGGAGCGUCAUAGAGGGUGAGAAUCCCGUCUUUGACACGGAUAAUAGUUCAUUGUGGUGCGCUCUCGACGAGUCGAGUUGUUUGGGAAUGCAGCUCAAAAUGGGUGGUAAAUUCCAUCUAAAGCUAAAUACAGGCGAGAGACCGAUAGCGAACAAGUACCGUGAGGGAAAGAUGAAAAGAACUUUGGAAAGAGAGUUAAACAGUAUGUGAAAUUGCUGAAAGGGAAACGCUUGAUGUCAGUCACGUUGGCUAGGGAUCAACCUUGCUUCUCGCUGGGUGUAUUUCCUAGUGGACGGGUCAGCAUCAGUUUCGGUCGCUGUACAAGGGCAAAGGGAACGUGGCACUCCUUGGAGUGUGUUAUAGCCUUUCGUCGUAUGCAGUGGUUGGGACUGAGGAACUCGGCACGAAAUCUAUUUUGUGCUUAGGAUGCUGGCAUAAUGGCCUUAAGCGACCCGUCUUGAAACACGG